rnacentral:rRNA from 1 species
UACGUAGGGGGCAAGCGUUGUCCGGAAUCACUGGGCGUAAAGGGCGCGUAGGCGGCGCGGAUAGUCGGCGGUGAAAGCCCGGAGCUCAACUCCGGGUCGGCCGUCGAUACUUCCGGGCUUGAGCACUGUAGAGGCAGAUGGAAUUCCGGGUGUAGCGGUGGAAUGCGUAGAGAUCCGGAAGAACACCGGUGGCGAAAGGCGGU